GGGGAUGUGGCUCAGUGAUAGAGCAUUUGCCUAACAUGCAUGAAGUCCUGGGUUCAAUCCCUAGCACUGCCA
rnacentral:tRNA from 1 species